AUCUGGGUGAUCACACCUGGAGGGAUGCUUUCACUCACGCCUCCACGGACAGCAGUGAUUAAGAGCACGCAGCCCCUGGAGACACACUAAUCACGCUGCCUCUGGAGACAGACUGCUUGGUUGGGAUCAGGCUCUGCUGCUUUCAGGCUGUGUGAGGAAGCAAUUUAGCCCCUCAGGCUUUAUUUUCUUCUCUACAAAACGGAAUAACAGUGGUGCCUAGAUAGUUGGGAACUAGUGAUAACUGAAUGAAUUGCUGUAAAGCUGAGAAAGGAUUGCUUAUAACAAUGGCUCAACAAUGUUAAUUAUUUGAGAACAAAACAUAAUGCUAUUUCCCUAGAGGUAUGCUGGCAGCAGGGGCCACUCAGACAUCCUCUGAAUUCACUUAUGACUGAAAGGUAUAAGAUUUUCUACUUGAACGUCUGCUCUUGAUGAGUUUCUGUUUUGGGAUUGCCAUGGAGACACCAUCAUUUUCUGCUGGCAAUGGUUGAAAUAUGAAAGGCCCUUGAUAAAACUAACACAUUCUUCUUAGACUUCCUAUCUCCCCAACAAGAUUAACUGAUUCUACCAUUUGGGGAUAUUUUACUGUAAUUCAUCUUAAAAGGUCCACCGGGAUACACCCCUACUGAAAAACAAAAGGAGGGUGUCAGAUAUUUGUAGAUUUUAAUGCACUACAAGGUGAUCAAAUAGAAAUGGCAUAUCUUAAAAAGAAAAACUAUGUCAAAAUCAGCUCUUCCAUGUUUUAUGUUGGAAUACAUUGAAAAUUUGUCCAAGGAAUUUUGCAGCAAAAAUACUCUCUUUUGAAAAUAAAAAAUGGCCCUGCCCACGAGUUCUGUUAUAACUCAAUUCUCUUUGGAAAUAAGACUGCCCUUUACCACUUGGUUUUAAUUCUUUAUAAUUACUUUUACCCACUUUGUAUUAUCAAAAUAACCUAUUAUUUUUUAGGAAAUUUAUUUUGCUUAUUUUAAAUAUUAAUCGCUCUUUAGUCCUUGGGGCGUUGGAAUACAAAUUUUAUUUUAUGUAUUAAUGUAUGCAUGUAUGUAUGUAUUUGUGUAUUUAUUUAUUUUGUCUCAUGUUGUUUUUGAACGACUACAGCCUGCCAAGAUUGUGGAGAAAAAACAGUAUACUUAACAAACUUUCCCCAACCUAUUCGUGAACUUUGACACCCAGGACUCCCCUACCCUGAGCUCCCUUUCAAUGACACACCAGGCCAGACACCUUCUGUACCCCAAGAGGUUUCCUGCUGUCUUGUGCUCCUCAGACACAGGUGACUUUCCCUCAGUUCUGGGGCGGUUCCAGGUUUGGUCUGAGGAAAAAGCCAACAGACUUGCAAGUUUGCCAUCUUGCCAGCUCCCUGUCAUUUAUAUAAUUUAGUGUUGUGAGUCACUGUAAAUCCAUUUUUAAAUUAGUCGUGGUCUAAUUGUGUUUUCUUACAAAUGAUAAAAAUUAACAUUUAAUGUCUUUCCCAGUCCCUUCAUAUUAUACUGCCUUUGGAUCCCUGUAGGUAACGUCAGCCACCAUCCCUGUUUCCCAUCAUCCAUCAGUGCCUAAAUGAGAGCAGCAUCUCUGACUCUUCCUCACAUAAGUCUAUUAUUCUCCAAAAACAAUUACAUCCUCCUUUAUGAAAUCUGUCCCUUUAGCUCAGAGUAAAAUUUCUAGUUCAGCUCUGGAUCAUCUAUGAGUCAAAGGACCAUAAUGAUAAAAUUAAAUUAUAGCCAAAAUAAAAUAUAUUCAUGUCCAGGCUAGUAUGAGAGGGGAAGAAAAAAAGACUUAUUAUAUACAAAUCACAGCACUAAUAGGAAUUUAUCUUAUUUAGA
ensembl:lncRNA